CCUACGGGAGGCAGCAGUAAGGAAUAUUGGUCAAUGGACGCAAGUCUGAACCAGCCAUGCCGCGUGCAGGAUGAAGGCCCUCUGGGUUGUAAACUGCUUUUAUAGGGGACGAAAAAGGGACUUUCUAGUUCAACUGACGGUACCCUAGGAAUAAGCACCGGCUAACUCCGUGCCAGCAGCCGCGGUAAUACGGAGGGUGCAAGCGUUAUCCGGAUUUACUGGGUUUAAAGGGUGCGUAGGUGGGUCGGUAAGUCAGCGGUGAAAUCUUCGAGCUUAACUCGGAAACUGCCAUUGAUACUAUCGAUCUUGAAUCAUCUAGAGGUAAGCGGAAUAUGUCAUGUAGCGGUGAAAUGCUUAGAUAUGACAUAGAACACCAAUUGCGAAGGCAGCUUACUAUGGAUGCAUUGACACUGAGGCACGAAAGCGUGGGGAUCAAACAGGAUUAGAUACCCUGGUAGUCCACGCCCUAAACGAUGGAUACUCGACAUCAGCGAUACACUGUUGGUGUCUGAGCGAAAAGCAUUAAGUAUCCCACCUGGGAAGUACGAUCGCAAGAUUGAAACUCAAAGGAAUUGACGG
rnacentral:rRNA from 1 species